GAAGAAAACGGAAGGGGAAAAAAAAAAAGAAUGGAGGAAAAAAGGAAAGAUACAAUUACA
rnacentral:ribozyme from 1 species